rnacentral:tRNA from 1 species
UUGUGGUAUCGUACAGAUGGUUAGUACACUCGACCGAUAAUCGAGAAACAACGGUUCGACUCCGUUUACCACGACCAA